GACGAACGCUGGCGGCGUGCUUAACACAUGCAAGUCGAACGGAAAGGCCCUGCUUUUGUGGGGUGCUCGAGUGGCGAACGGGUGAGUAACACGUGAGUAACCUGCCCUUGACUUUGGGAUAACUUCAGGAAACUGGGGCUAAUACCGGAUAGGAGCUCCUGCUGCAUGGUGGGGGUUGGAAAGUUUCGGCGGUUGGGGAUGGACUCGCGGCUUAUCAGCUUGUUGGUGGGGUAGUGGCUUACCAAGGCUUUGACGGGUAGCCGGCCUGAGAGGGUGACCGGCCACAUUGGGACUGAGAUACGGCCCAGACUCCUACGGGAGGCAGCAGUGGGGAAUAUUGCACAAUGGGCGGAAGCCUGAUGCAGCAACGCCGCGUGCAGGAUGAAGGCCUUCGGGUUGUAAACCGCUUUCGCCUGUGACGAAGCGUGAGUGACGGUAAUGGGUAAAGAAGCACCGGCUAACUACGUG
rnacentral:rRNA from 1 species